CCUGAGUGCCAGAGAGUUUCUGUAUUAACAAUUCUGGAAAAGAUCUUUAGAUUUUCUGUCACUUCAUACUUUUUCACACGAGAUUCCGCCUGCCUAGAAGACUCUUCAACCACCCUCACCACCUCUUUAUCUGGUUUCAGUUACUCCAGUAACUGAAGGGAUGCAGUCGUGAGGCAAAUGAUCCUCCUUCUGACAAAUCAUCAGAACGCCAAUAGUAGACUAACGCUACACUAGGCUACGUCACAAUGCCUACGUCAUUCACGUCCGCCCGGCGUUUGAUCAUUUUGCAUCGUCAUAAGAAGGAGCAGGGAAGGACAAAACAUGGAUAUGAAAUACGUUUUGGAUGUUGCCAAUACUUUGCUACAGGAGCGAAGCCAUCACC